rnacentral:rRNA from 1 species
GACGUAGGGCGCGAGCGUUGUCCGGAUUUAUUGGGCGUAAAGAGCUCGUAGGCGGCUUGUCGCGUCGACUGUGAAAUCCCGCGGCUCAACUGCGGGUCUGCAGUCGAUACGGGCAGGCUAGAGUUCGGUAGGGGAGACUGGAAUUCCUGGUGUAGCGGUGAAAUGAUGCAGAUAUCAGGAGGAACACCGGUGGCGAAGGCGGGAUCCUGGCCAGUACGUGACGCUGAGGAGCGAAAGCGAUGGG